rnacentral:rRNA from 1 species
CUCCGGGUGGUCCCUGCCGGACCUGACUGCUAUCGGAUUGGUACUAAGCCAUGCGAGUCGUUGUAGCAAUACAAGGCGGACGGCUCAGUAACACGUAGUCAACCUAACCUAUGGACGUGGAUAACCUCGGGAAACUGAGAAUAAACCGCGAUAGAUCAUUAUGCCUGGAAUGGCUUAUGGUUCAAACAAUUUAUUGCCGUAGGAUGGGACUGCGGCCUAUCAGCUUGUUGGUGAGGUAAUGGCCCACCAAGGCUAUAACAGGUACGGGCUCUGAGAGGAGAAGCCCGGAGAUGGGUACUGAGACACGGACCCAGGCCCUAUGGGGCGCAGCAGGCGAGAAACCUUAGCAAUGUGCGAAAGCACGACUAGGUUAAUCCGAGUGAUUUCUGUUGAAGAAAUCUUUUGUCAGUCGUAAAACCACAGACGAAUAAGGGGUGGGCAAGUCUGGUGUCAGCCGCCGCGGUAAUACCAGCACCUCGAGUGGUCAGGAGGUUUAUUGGGCCUAAAGCAUCCGUAGCCGGCUACGCAAGUCUCCGGUUAAAUCCAGCUGCUCAACAGAUGGGCUGCCGGAGAUACUACAUAGCUAGGGAGCGGGAGAGGUAGACGGUAUUCUGUGGGUAGGGGUAAAAUCCACUGAUCCAUAGAGGACCACCAGUGGCGAAGGCGGUCUACCAGAACGCGUUCGACGGUGAGGGAUGAAAGCUGGGGGAGCAAACCGGAUUAGAUACCCGGGUAGUCCCAGCUGUAAACGAUGCAAACUCGGUGAUGCAUUGGCUUAUGGCCAAUGCAGUGCCGCAGGGAAGCCGUUAAGUUUGCCGCCUGGGAAGUACGGACGCAAGUCUGAAACUUUAAGGAAUUGGCGGGGGAGCA